rnacentral:rRNA from 1 species
GACGAACGCUGGCGGCGUGCUUAACACAUGCAAGUCGAGCGGAGCGGCGAACGGGUGAGUAACGCGUGAGUAACUGCCCCCCUCUCUGGGAUAACAGUUGGAAACGGCUGCUAAUACCGGAUAGUGGGGGAUGGCUCGCGGCCUCUCGGCUUGUUGGUGGGGUAGUGGCCUACCAAGGCGAGGACGGGUAGCCGGCCUGGGAGGGCGAGCGGCCACAGUGGGCUGGGAACCGGCCCAAACUCCUGCGGGAGGCAGCAGUGGGGACUAUUGCACAAUGGGGGAAACCCGGAUGCAGCAACGCGCGUGGGGGAUGACGGCCUUCGGGUUGUAAACCGCUUUCAGCCAUGACGCGGUAGUGGCAGAAGAAGCACCGGCUAACUACGUGCCAGCAGCCGCGGUAUUC